GCUUCAUAUAUAUGUUUUGGUAUUUUGCAAGAUACAUGUAUAUGCUAUUUGCUUAGAGUUAAUUUUUGGUGCUGCUUUUUAUUAUUUAUUGCAUGCUGCAUGCCUUGUUUUAUUUGUUAUUGCAUAUGUUUUUAUAUUCGGUGAAAAGCUCAUUAGAGCUUAUGUUUGUAUUGUUUGUCAAUAUGCCGAAUCCAAAUAAAGUUUUACUUACUUACUUACUUACUU
rnacentral:lncRNA from 1 species